rnacentral:rRNA from 1 species
UACAGAGGGUGCGAGCGUUAAUCGGAAUUACUGGGCGUAAAGGGCGCGUAGGCGGCCACCGCAAGUCGACUGUGAAAUCUCCGGGCUUAACCCGGAAAGGUCAGCCGAUACUGCGGGCUAGAGUGCAGAAGGGCAACUGGAAUUCUCGGUGUAGCGGUGAAUGCGUAGAUAUCGAGAGGAACACCUGCGGCGAAGGCGGGUUGCUGGGCUGACACUGACGCUGAGGCGCGAAAGCUAGGGAGCGAACGGG